AUAGCUGCUAUAAUUUGGCUGACUGUUAAUACAAGCUCAACAGAUAUCCAUAAACCAGAAUUUAAUGGACUUCUUUGUCGGCUGCGAGCAUUUCCUCUACGACUUAGUGAUGAACUCCUUGAGUUUGACCCACCGGCAGUAAAAGGUUGAGGCUGAUAAAGGGGAACCCUUGAACUAGUAGAUGGCAGGUCUUCACUCCUUUGCUGCUCCAAACCAGUUGAUGGCCUUUCAUGGGAUGAAUUAGAUGAAGAAGCAGUACCACUGCCUGUUAUGUCAAUAACGUGUUCGGUAUCGCUGCGACUGUCAGCUCCUUCCAUUAACAAAUCGGCUUCGUUAGUUGAACUCUUAUGAUGAUGUCCCAGUAUGGGAAAAGCCAUUCAAGUCUGCCAACCCUAGACGACACUCCGAAAACAUGGGACAACAGGCUAGUGAGCUCCCUUCCUAGGAUGCUGAAGAUUGAGCAGCAAUAAUCUCUCCGAGCUUAAGGGAGUUGAUUGACCUUAUCUGUUCACAGCACAUAAAGGCAUAAAUAAAGCAUAAACAUUAGAAGCUAACUCAUUCCAUUUAUACACUCAUACACAAUGCCGAUUCCCUUUCUCAUAACAAAAAUUACAGAACAAGGCACUCAGUACAUAUAUUCUUUCUUCGACGCGAGUUCACCGUUCCUGUCACAAUAUUACAUCUCCUCAAACCAAACAAAAUUAAGCCAAAUAAACACAGUAGAAAAGCUUUGGAGAAAGAUUGUAUCUCAAUAGCUCAAAGAACAACGCUUAUGAUCUUCAAUCGAUACCGAAUUCCGAAGCAGAAGUCUACCAACAGAAUUAGUCUACACAAUUCCAGUCACUAACACAAACAAUUCCACGAGCUGAAAAGAACACCAAAACCACCAAAUAAAGCUGAAUUACUUAAAUUUUCCACAACCCCAAGCCAAUUCUCAACCCCUAAAUUGCAACUUUUUUCCACAUUAAGAUCGUUGACCCUCCCCGUAAUUCAACGCCCACAGUCCAACACAUAGUAAACUCAAAAUCAAAAUCUGAAACCGUAUAGAAUUGGAAUAGUAAAACGAACUCAUUAAUCAAUUCACCAUUCACGAAUUAAACAUCUGCAAAAUCUAUGUACUAAGAGCUACCAGUAAUCAAAUUAAUGAACAAUUCAAUUACUCACCUGAAUGAAACAACUAAAACUAGGGUUUGACGAAAGCAGAGAAUCAGAAUAAAUUUUUCUGGAAGAUGGAAGCUCGUUUUUGUUGAUGGAUUUAUUCAAGCUACUUCUACAGUUGUGCUUUUAUUUAUUUAUAUAUUUGGCGACUUUUUUCUUUAUUUUUCUGGCUCAUCUUUUUUACUAUAAUGGUUUUUAGUUUUUAUGACGUCAUAUUUUCCUCGCAAUUCUUUUAUUUGUUUAUUUUUUUUUCUUUCCUUUUUUCUGCGCCGUUCGAUUUGGGACAGAGAUUGCUUGGCAUUAUUGGGAUUUUCAGUUUCAAAAAAAAAAAACAAUAUUUGGGAUAAUAAGAUGUUUAAUUACAUUUUUACCCCUGAUUAUGGGUUAGGUGAGUAAUUAAUUACCUUCUUGAUGAUACAAAUGCAUCACGCACUUACUCCACUAAAUCAUGAAAUAUAACAAUAAUCUUAUUCGAUAUUUCUUUGUCUUAAUAUUUUUUUCGUGACGUAUACUUAAACAAAUUAGUCUUUUUUUUACUAAGCAUGUGUGUUGAAUUAGAAUACUACUAUUAUUUAAAUAUUUGAUGGUGUCAUUUUUAAAUGGUCAAUCGUAUAAGUAAAUUUAAUUUAUCAUUAUAAGUAAAAUUAUAAUUUUAUUAUUUAUUGUGAGUGUGGGUUGUGGGCUCAAAUGCGUCUAUACUUAUGUACUCUUAUCAAUUUUUUAUGACAUUUUCUUUUUUCAUUAAUAUUUAUUUAAUAAAUGAAUAAACGAAUAUAACUCCAUUCGACGUACAUACUCCAAAUGAAAUAAUGAUUGCAACAUCUAUUAUUUUAGAAGUCCAAUAUCAAAUGAAUAAUUUUGAAAGGGUCAUUUAACAUAUAUAUUUAUGAAUUAUGAUAGGUGAUUUGAACGCUCAAUUACUAAUUAAAUUAGAUAUGUUUUAUCAAUUGAAUUAUGAUUUUUUUUUGACGGAAAUUGAAUUAUGAUUUAUUAACUCUUUUAUAUUACAAAUGAUAAGUUACAAGAGGAACAUAAACAUCCAAACACAAACUUAUCCAAUUCUUUGUUUUUAUUAGUUGGGAGUCCCAUAUUUGAAUAUUUGAAAGUAUUGAACCCUAAAUUGAUUAUUGAAUUUUGCCCUUUUAUUAUGUGUAGUUGAUAGAAUGUGGCAAUUAUUUGAUGGUCCAAUAUUUGGAUCAAAUUAUAAAAGUUGCAUGGUAUUUAAAAUGUGCAAAAAUCACGACAAUUCAAAAGUGAUGAUGGCUCACAACUCGAAAAUAUGAGAAACUAUUUGUCACAUUACAUUUUGUCAAAAGAUUGAUUCUUUUGUUUUGUCAUUUUUUUUAGUUUGAAAAUUCAUCCAAAUUGUAUUGUUACUUAUUUUUAAGUACCUUUGGGGCUUUGAAUGAGAAUACUAUUUUUAUUUUAAUUAUUGAUCUUACUCAAAGACUCGUGAUUAAUAAAUAACAAAUAUCGCAUUUAUUGUCGACGUGUAUGAUGACUCAAAAUCCAGCUUUAUAUAAGUUAAAAACUUAAAAUCUACAAGUCUUUGUUUGCAAAUUUAAUUGCUAAAAGCCAUUUUCUUCUUAUCACUUAAAUUAUCAAUUCCUUUGUUAUUUAUUUAUCGAGACAUCAUGUGUUAUUAUGUUACCAACUAACGUAUUUUUUCCUGUGUUCAUGCAUAGUNUCCAGCUAUCUUCUCUGCUUAUUGACCUCCUCGCGAAAGGAACAGCAGAGUUAUUGCUAAGGGAAGCAUCUUGUCCAUUUUGAGAUGAGUCCUGCUCAGGACUUUGAUUACGAUAUUUAAAACGCCAAUAUAGAAGGGGAAGUAUCGCCAAACAACCAGAUGCAUAUCCAACAACCCAUGCUCUCAAAGGAGCACGAGGCUUCUCACUUCUGGACAGGGACAAGACAACAAUAGCUGCUAUAAUUUGGCUGACUGUUAAUACUAGCUCAACAGAUAUCCAUAAACCAGAAUUUAAUGGACUUCUUUGUCGGCUGCGAGUAUUUCCUCUACGACUUAGUGAUGAACUCCUUGAGUUUGACCCACCGGCAGUAAAAGGUUGAGGCUGAUAAAGGGGAACCCUUGAACUAGUAGAUGGCAGGUCUUCACUCCUUUGCUGCUCCAAACCAGUUGAUGGCCUUUCAUGGGAUGAAUUAGAUGAAGAAGCAGUACCACUGCCUGUUAUGUCAAUAACGUGUUCGGUAUCGCUGCGACUGUCAGCUCCUUCCAUUAACAAAUCGGCUUCGUCAG
rnacentral:lncRNA from 1 species